AGUGUUCCUUUGACAUUGGCACUUAAGAAACCUGUUUCCGGUGAUGAGCACUUAGGGAUACCAUGGCUCGCAUUAGGGAUAGGCAGGUACAAAAAUACCUACUCCUUCAAUAUAUUCUAAAGCAUAUUCAUGUAGGAAUAAAACUUAAGCCUAGAUUGGAUAGACAUCAGAGUCUACAAAGAAAAAAUGGCUGACAACAGCUAUCCAAGAUUAAAGAUGAUCUGGGAGUUAAGAAACUUCCUUAUCAUUUUCUUCCAUUUACCAUAAUUCUUACACGAUUCCCACUCUCUUAUCCAAUCCUGUUGCAAGAUUGAGUUUGUGGUGACUUCCAUUUGUAUUUCAACCAGGUUGAGAAAUUCCUGUUUGGCUUCCAUGAUCUUUCAUAGUUAAUUGUGUUUCUGAUGUAUUUAAAUAUCUUUCAUAGCAUCCACAUGGUAUAUACUAAUUAAAAUUUGCGCUUUAUGUUCGCUGCUCACAGAUCUCACUUGAAGCAUGUAUUCGCUGAUGCUGGCCAUUUUAGGACUGCAGCUAUGUGUUCGCACAGUAUGUUACAACUGCGGUGAAAUUUGGUGCCUCCCCGUGGAGUACAUGGUGGGAUUUGCAAGGCUAAGCUGUUCAUAAAUGAGCAAAGAGAGAUUUGUCAAGGCAGUGGCGUGGAAAGUGUAUACCUCAUGACAAUCAUGAUGACACGAAAGAAGAGUGAGCACUGGAUUUUCCCAUGACAAGGCUCCUACCUUUUCACAAGUGCUUUGUUGAUAUGCUCCGGCGUAAGACAACUUUUGCAUGCUUGGGUAACGCAAGUAUAACUGUCAUUUGUUCUA